UACGUAGGGCGCAAGCGUUGUCCGGAAUUAUUGGGCGUAAAGAGCUCGUAGGUGGUUUGUCGCGUCUGCCGUGAAAGCCCGGGGCUUAACUCCGGGUCUGCGGUGGAUACGGGCAGACUAGAGGCAGGUAGGGGAGAACGGAAUUCCCGGUGUAGCGGUGAAAUGCGCAGAUAUCGGGAGGAACACCGGUGGCGAAGGCGGCAUCCUGGACCGAUACUGACGCUGAGGAGCGAAAGCCAGGGGAGCAAACGGG
rnacentral:rRNA from 1 species